GGACGGGUGAGUAACGCGUGAGGAUCUGCCUUCAGGUCUGGGACAACAGUGGGAAACUGCUGCUAAUACCGGAUGUGCCGAGAGGUGAAAGGCUUGACUGCCUGAAGAUGAACUUGCGUCUGAUUAGCUAGUUGGUGGGGUAAAGGCCCACCAAGGCGACGAUCAGUAGCUGGUCUAAGAGGAUGAUCAGCCACACUGAGACUGAGACACGGCCCAGACUCCUACGGGAGGCAGGAGUGGGGAAUUUUCCGCAAUGGGGGCAACCCUGACGGAGCAACGCCGCGUGAGGGAGGAAGGCCUUAGGGUUGUAAACCUCUUUUCUCAGGGAAGAAGUUCUGACGGUACCUGAGGAAUCAGCAUCGGCUAACUCCGUGCCAGCAGCCGCGGUAAGACGGAGGAUGCAAGCGUUAUCCGGAAUUAUUGGGCGUAAAGCGUCCGUAGGCGGUUCAUCAAGUCUGCCGUUAAAGACUGCAGCUUAACUGUGGGUAAGCGGUGGAAACUGAGGAACUGGAGUACGGUAGGGGUAGAGGGAAUUCCCAGUGUAGCGGUGAAAUGCGUAGAUAUUGGGAAGAACACCAGUGGCGAAGGCGCUCUACUGGGCCGUAACUGACGCUGAG
rnacentral:rRNA from 1 species